GACCUCUUGUGUGACCCGGCAGGGUGGCCUUCCCCAGGCUAACCUAUGCGGCCCCUCCAUCCAGUGUGGGAUCCGGGUUCUUAUUCGCAGCGUGGAGACGGUAUCUGACUGUCACUUCAGUGUUUUAGGCGCUCAGGAGUUUCUGAGCCAGCGACCCCAUCCAGACUUCCUAGAUCGUCAUAGAUAAAUCACGAGGAUAAGUUGGAAGCUGAGGUUUCCUGACAGAUUUUGCUACUGUCUUUCGAUGCUGUUCUCAGAGCAAAGGAAGGAUAGGAGCUCCAGGCAGCAUGCCUACAUUUAGGAUGGGAGAGAGGCAAUGACUUGUAUUCCUUGAAGAGAAGAACAAAGGCUUCCUUGCAGUCCUCCAGUAGUCUUACAUCACAGUGUCCAAAGCUGAGUCAAUGGACUGAAGUAGAGGGAAAGAAAGCUGCAUCCUUUCCAGCCUUUGCAGUGAGGAUGUCAACGGGGAAAACUGGAAAUGCUGUUGCCCGUGCUAGCCAACCUGCCCACACUGACUGGGGAUCAAAUGGAUGUUGCUGGAAAGCAGCGUUUACUGGAUGUUUACAAUGGAGAAAUGGUACAGAGAUACCCUAUGGCCUUUGGUUAUUCUUCAUGGACCUAAAGAAGCUGGUACUGGCACCAGCCAGCUCUGGAGCUUUGCUGAGUCUCAAAAAGACUGA
rnacentral:lncRNA from 1 species